rnacentral:lncRNA from 10 species
GCCUAGACUCAUGCAGGUUUCAACAGUGUUUCCAUUUGGCCUUUCUAGUCGUUGCUCAAAAGAAUUUCUGAACUUUCAGGCACACAUGGAAUGAGUAGAUGCUUUCAAUCUACUUCUUUAUAAUAUAUGGGACCUUUUUAAAAAAGUAUUUAUCAAAUGAUGCUUUGUAUUGAGAUGUCCUUAGUUAAUUACCUAUUUGUAUUUUAGGAGCAGUGUGUAUUUCUCUCAUUCAGCCAUGUAUUCACUUAAUGACUACAUAAUGAAUGCCUUCUGUGCCAAGGAAUAUAACUACUCAUUUAUUAACACCAAGUCCUGAAGAUAUGGCAUUCUUUUACUCAAUUUUCAUGAUCAUCACAUACCUUAGUGAAAAAUUAAAAUCAUGAUGUUUCAGUUAAGGAAUCUAAGAUGCUGUGCUUAACAAAAUUGCUGAAGUUACCACAAAUAAAAACAGGCUUUCCAGACUGCAGAAAAACUUCUUCUGAAGACUUAAUGAGACACACAUAGUCACUGCCUGAGCUUUCUGCCCCUGAAUAAAGAUAUCUUCUUAUAGGGUCUGAAUUAGACUUCACAAUGGAAUUCAUCAGCAAAUAUUGGUGUCUACAUCUUUAAAAUGUGUCUGGAUUCUAAUCCUCACGAUUUCAACCACAACCUCCAUUGCCAGAGCCACCAUCAUCUCUCACCUCAAUUAUAGCAACAGCUUCUAACUGCUCUGUCAGUUUCUGCUUCUUCCCAAACAUUCCAUUCUCAAAACAGCAACCAAAGUGUUGCAUUAAAAAUAUCAUUGGAUCAGCAGGGCACAGUGACUCACGCCUGUAAUCCCAGCACUUUGGGAGGCCAAGGAGGGCGGAUCAUGAGGUCAGGAGUUCAAGACCAGCCUGACCAAUAAGGUGAAACCCCGUCUCUACUGAAAAUACAAAAAUUAGCUGGACAUGGUGGCUCACGUCUGUAGUCCCAGCUACUCAGGAGGCUGAGACAGGAGAAUCGCUUGAACCCAGGAGGCAGAGGUUGCAGUGAGCUGAGAUCAUACCACAACACUCCAGCCUGGGUGACAGGCAAAGACUCUGUCUCAAAACAAACAAACAAACAAACAAACAAACAAAGCCAUCCAAUCAUGUAGCUGUCCCAGUUAGAAUCCUCCAACAUCUCACCAUUUUACUCAGAAUGAAAGUUGUUCUGCUUGCAAUGCCAUGUUAAGAUCUGGCUGAUGGUUUUCUACUUGAUCAUCUGUUAUAAAUCUCAUCUUGCACCCAACCCCUGGCUGCUGUAGAGUUGUUCCUUGAACAUCCUUGGCACCAUCUCUUCUCAGAUCCAUUGCAUUUGUUGUUCCUACUGCCUGGGACGCUUUACCCUUAAUACUUUUAAACAGCAUAUCCCUUCCUCUCCUUGCUUAAAUUCAUCUUUUCAAAGAUCCCUGCCCUGACUACUUUUUAAAGAUUACGACACCUCUAUAUCCAUCCUGAACCCACCACCUUGGCAUUUUAGUCCCAAUUAUCUACUUGGCUUCCCUCCCUUGUUCUUACCUCCCUAUAGCUUAAUAUGUAAUAUGUAAUUUUCUUAUGUGAUUUAUUUUCUAUCUUCCAACCAAAGAGAGAAUUUAUUUUUCUUUUACUUUUUUUUUUUUAUUUUUUUUAACUGCUGCAUCCAAACUGCCUUGAUUAGUGCUAGGUACAACAAAUAUAAAUAUUUUUCAAAUCAAUGAAUGAAGAAUACAUGGAUAUUUAUAAACAUCUGAAAAGUAAGGGCAUAGAUUACUAGCGUAAGUUCUCCUGAAAUGGCAACUUAAUCUUCAUGGUUAAAAAUGCAGCAGAACGUUAAGUAUUCAGCUCUGUCAGGUCUGGAGAAAACAUAUCUUUCCAAGGACAAUUUUAGUACUAGCUGAUGCCACCCCUGGAAUCCCAGGAUAAAGGGUGCCUGCCAUGUUGAGAUAAGCUACAUUUAUGCCUGCCAUUUGGGGACACCUCCAUUCUGAAGAGUCUUUGUAUUCUUUUUUUUUUUUUUUUUGAGACGGAGUCUCACUCUGUCUCCCAGGCUGGAGUGCAGUGGCGCGAUCUCGGCUCACUGCAAGCUCUGCCUCCCGGGUUCACGCCAUUCUCGGUCUCAGCCUCCCAAGUAGCUGGGACUACAGGCGCCCGCCACCACGCCCGGCUAAUUUGUUUGUUUGUUUGUUUGUAUUUUUAGUAGAGAUGGGAUUUCACCGUAUUAGCCAGGAUGGUCUCGAUCUCCUGACCUCGUGAUCCACCUGCCUCAGCCUCCCAAAGUGCUGGGAUUACAGGCGUGAGCCACCGGAGUCUUUGUAUUCUUAACUAGUUCUCAAAGCCCAGGUUUUGUUAUUUCUCAUAAAGAAACCAAAAUCCUGUGGUUCAGUCCUGGAUUUACACAGCCCAAAUGACAGGAUACUGAAGCAAGCAAGAGAGAGAAGCUGAUCACUCAUCCACUCCAUCAUCACCAUGCUCUUAAAGCUCUCUGUGUUUUUCAUUUCACAUCGUGUAUCAGUAAAAAUGUGGCAAUGACAAGGUAAUGGAAGGAUGAUUAGCUUUAAUGUACUCCCUUUCAUGUUUGUAGUUAGAGCAAAUAUGAACUAAUUUAUACCCUCAGCUAUUUUUCUUUUCUGUGUAUAUUGUAACAAAUAUGAAAAUUGCUGGUGUAAGUGCAAUCGAUCAAUUGAGAUAAAUGCAAGUCGAGUUCAAUGACUCUUUAACAAAUUUUCAUAAGGCAACCUUUCUUGGUAAAAACUGUUAGUAAUUUUUAUGCCACCAUUAAGACUGUAGAUUCCUGGGAACUCCAGGUUCUGGUAGACAACAUGGAUUUUUUGAUUAAACAAGUGACUCAAAUAGCAGCAAAUCAAAAUAGCAAACAAACAAACAAUUGGGUGGCAUAGAACAAAGAAAUCACAGAGCUUGCAUUUGAUUUUAAAGAUGCAUUUUAGUUUAUAAACAGAACAGUUAGUCAAUAUUUUUGAGGAUUUGGACAAUCAUAAGAUUGUGCAGCCAGUAAGUUCUGAAUAACUCUAAAUGAAAUACACCUACAAAUUAUUCACUAUUCUAUUUGGGGUUUUAUUUCUCCAUGCUCUUUAAAUAGUAUGAAAUGCAAACAGAAUGACUAAUAGAAACUUCAUAAAGUUUAAUAAUAUAUUUAAUAUAUUAACAAUAAAGGUACCAAGUUCAUUUUGAAGGUAUAUGCAAAUAUAAAUUGGCUCAAGGUUUCCACUAAUAGAAAUUAUAUAUAUGUAUAUUUCCCUAAAAAAUCUAAUUUAAGGCAGAUAUAUCGAUAUAGGGCUUUGUUAGAACUCCAUGUUUUGUUAAAGUAAUAAACAUUAAACAACAUUUUGUGAGGUCUCUAAUGUUAACCUUGAAUGAUAGAAUGAUGAGGGCAAGAAUAAGCUAUCAAUAACACAAAGUUUCAUUUGAAAAAUCUCAUAUUUUUAGAUACUAUUUCACUUUGUGAUACGAUGUGUUGGAAUAAAAAAAAGGAUGGAAAGUUUAUUGUCCUUCCAAGAAUAACAGACAUUUAUAUUUUGGAAAGAUGAGUUGUCUUUCAAACUUCACCAAGGAAUUAUAAAGAGUUAUGUCAGAACAUGGCAUGUAAAUUGAGGUGUGUAUCUAAUAUAAAAACCAUUCUACUGAAACUAAUUUCCCAAUGCAACAUUCUAGGAAAUGGUAAUAAAUAUCCUGUUUUGGUUUAGGGAGAAAAUAAG